rnacentral:lncRNA from 1 species
AUGGGCACCUGGACCCCUAACCCGAGGCCCCGGGCACAGGGCCCCUCCCAACCUGGUCCAUGGACAGCGCCUGGGACUGCUGUGCUGAGGAGGCCAUCCUGGCGGUGGUGUGAACUGGGCCAGGCCGAGGAGGGAUCGAAGCCAGACGCUGAGGGAGGACAGCCCCUUCUCCCACCCAGUGUGGACUUCCAACUUUGCAGCACCCGUCUCUUGCAUCUCAAGUGCAGGCUCCUCGUUCCCAGGCCCCCAAGGCUGCGCUCCUUGGCCGCUGGCCAGUGCAGGGGGCCCAGCAGGGCUCAGAACCCAUCGUUGGGAUGCGGAAACCUGCGCCCACCCGCCUCCUCUUCGGCCGGGAAAGUUUGUUGUUUUGUGAGGUCUGCGAGAGCUGGGAGGUGGACUCUGCCGGGGCCUGUGAGUGGCCGGAGGAGGCAGGAGGCAAACGCCGCACUGGACUUAGCCCCGGGCAGCAGAUGGGAAAGCCCGGAGCCCCUGAUUCCCCGGGGACCUGACUCCAGGCGCGAUGCUGAUGGCCGAGCGGCCUUGGGGUCCAGGGCCGAGCAGCAAAGCAGCGAGCUGCCGUCACAGGGCCGUGGAGAGGAUGGAGCGACGGAGCACACACUUGUCACUUGGUUGGUGUCAGGUGCCGUUAUUUGUGUUGCCAUGGUAACGGCAGGUGCCCUCCUGAGGACUCUGACAUCUGUGUUGGCUUCACCUGCAGUCUCUGAGCGCCCCCAGGGCGUGGCGGUACGGGGUGGGCACAGGCAGACCAGCUGGCCUGGCCCCUGCUCCAGGGGGCUCCUCCUGGCUCUGUGCCCUUGGCUUUCUCGUGCUGAGCUGGUGACAGGCAUCAGGCCCCAGACUGUGCUGGGAUGGGUGGAGGGAGCAUGGAGGCACACACAGAGGCAGCCACGCAUCAGCCCAGCCAGGCCUACUCCCAAGGCCACCAGAGGGGACCUGCUCCUGCGGCCCUGGCACGGGCAUCUUCACGGCUGUUGCCAGGUUCUGCUGCCUCUGUCGGGCACUGACGAGGUGCCAACCCAGCUCAUUCAUUUUUUUAAGAUAUAUUAUUUGUCUGCUUGA